rnacentral:rRNA from 1 species
UACGUAGGGGGCGAGCGUUGUCCGGAUUUAUUGGGCGUAAAGAGCGUGUAGGCGGUUCGGUAAGUCUGUCGUGAAAUCCUGAGGCUCAACCUCGGGCGUGCGAUGGAUACUGCCGGGCUAGAGGGUGGUAGAGGCGAGUGGAAUUCCCGGUGUAGCGGUGAAAUGCGCAGAUAUCGGGAGGAACACCAGUAGCGAAGGCGGCUCGCUGGGCCACACCUGACGCUGAGACGCGAAAGCUAGGGGAGCGAAGUGGGA